UCGAGACAAGAUGCUGUGGUCGUUAAAUGAUUAAAACUAAUUUAAUAGCAUAAUAUACGGGGUCCUGCAAUUCAUCUGUAGGAGAAACUAAAAACGUGAAAGCGCAAGGCUGAGGCUCUGUAGCAGAAUCGGAUUCACACAUCUAUGAGUGAGGUAGUUUCAUUUCAGUUGCAGAGACUGGAAUUGCGCGACACCGCACAUGCACCAUGUUCCUAGAUUCUGUUUGAGUUAUAUAUGGGCGUCGAAACGAAAGCGCGCCCGUUCAGAUAAUAUGUGUACAUCCGGGGAUAGACGGCACAUCCACUGAUUCACGCAGGAGUAAACAAAAAACGUUUAACGAAUCAUUUACGGUAGGCUACGUUCUGGCGAAAGGGAACAGGCCAUAGACAUUUGAGAAUACAUUGCUUGCUUUUGAGAAUAUAUUGCUUGUCUUACCCGAGAAAAUGUAUUUGACGCGGGCCCCUGGGCACCUGCCCAAUUGCCCAUAUGGUUACAGAGAACAUGUCAUUUAAAUAGUUUUUUAAUGAAAAUAACAAAUCGUUUCGCUAGAUAAGACCCUUCUUCCUCGGCUAGGAUCGUUUACAACUCCAUUUGGGAUCGUUUGAAGCUGCAUUUCACCAUAUCGGUCUAUUAUAUGGAGAAAAAUCCUGAAAUGUUUCCUCAAAAAACACUAUUUCUUUACGACUGAGGAAAGAAAGACAUGAACAUCUUGGAUGACAAGGGGGAAAGCCGUCUCUUCCAUCUCUGCCAGCGCUGCCGUUGUGUCCAGGUGUGCCCGGCACCCCAGCAUAAACUGGCAGCACAAACUCCAUUAGGAGCAGCGCAACACAGAUCUGAUACUUUAAUCUGCUGUUUACUGCAGAUAUUGCAAGAUUUCUGUUGCUUGAGUGCUAAAUCCGUUUCAGUUCUGUGUAUGGAUCUAGUUUUACGUUCUCUUGAUUUAUAUGUGAUUGUGAUUAAAGAAGUUUUUGUUUCCUGA